UUUUUCUUUUGUGAAACAAGGAUGGCUCAGAUUUCUCCUCCUUACGUGUUUCCUGGUGAUACAGUACUGCAGUCUCUGCCUUACUCAGCUUAUGUCUAAUUGCAGAGCGUUUAGCAAAAGAAUUCAAAUGCAAGUUUUAGAUUUGGAGUUAACCAUCUAUUACACUCAGCUUUGUUAGAAGAUGUCAUCUGAACAUCAAAGAUAGGCCUGGGGUUUAAUUUCUCCUUAUUAGAUUGUGUGAAGGUGGGCUUGCAUCAGUCUGAAUCAAGAACUUGUGGCUUGGUAGAGUUUAGGGAAAAGGAAAUUUUCUUUCCACUGAAAAGCCAGGAUAUAUCUGUGUAUGUGUGACAUCUGUUGCAGCACUGCUUGUUGACAGUCUUCUGGGACAAGCUGGCCAGAAGGACUGGAUAUUGUGGGAAUUAAAGCUCGGUGUUCGUAUGGCAGCUUAACUGCUGAGUGCCCAUGUUCUGAAGGAAAAAUGUGAUUUACCUAAAAGAUCUUCUGGGGCUGGAUUUCUGGAGCUGUUGAAAAAAAUUCUUGACUGGUGGGAGUCCUGGUUUCCAGAUGCUUCCAAACACAAAGUCUCAUUGUCAAGAUGAAGGCUCUGACAAAAGAAGCCAGAUAUUAUUUCAUUAAUAUUUUAACCUUCCACAUCAGAAUUUUCAUACAACUAAAGCAAGGAUGACACUUGACUACCUUCCAGGAAUGGUAAGGGUUAACAUAAUGUAAUAUUCCUGCAAGGAAGACAUUGGUAAGUGACAUAGUUGUUAUGCUGUUAGUGGCCAUUUUGGAGCAAUUUUUCCUCAUUGUUCAGAUCCUACUGUAAUUCACUUCUUCCAGUGACCCUUUCAGUGUUAAUCCACCACACAGAAGCAUUGCAGUUUUAAUUAAAAAGGAAAUCUCUAUCUCACUAAGCUUAGUCUGCCAUCUGAUCAUGCAGUAUGGUUUACAGACAGUAUUAUCUGUCUAAUUUGCAUCAUAAAACCAUGACUUAAGCAAGGCAGAAGACAUUGGCAACCCCCAGGAAGUAAUGCAGCUCUAAUCAAAACCAGCCAUGUUUUAAGCAAAACUCGACUGUAAGAAUGGAGAUGUGUGUCUCACAUGGUGCUGCACACAAGGAGGGUUACAGGGGCACAGAGAGCUCAGUGGGAUACCUCUUUAAAAUAAAACCUGUAGACUGAGUUUGGAGCAGCUCCUGAAAAUAUAUGCUCCAGUUUGACAACAAGAUGGGAAUUUGAGGUGGGAUUUACUGCGUUAAAUUUUUUGGGUUCUGGUAAUGAAAGCUAGUAGUGCCUACUGACCUUUAAAACCUGUGAUCUUAAAUACUGGCAGUUGUUAUGUUCCUGUCUCUUGUAACUUCAUUAACUAAAUUGAGUGGUAAGCUGCAAGGCUAUGAACUGUCCUGAGGGCCUACACAUGACAAAAAUUCACACUGGGCUGGGUGGUAUCCCCAAAUCCCAUUCCAGCAGGUGAUCAGCAGAAGUCCACGACUGGGCAAAAAUCUCCUCAUAGUUGUUCUCACAUUUGGAUCGAGGUCAAGCAGCCGUCCCAGGGCAGAAAUGGCUCAAAGGAGAGCAGUAACACCAGCCUUGCUGCUCAGCUCCCAACUGCACCGGCACAUCAAGGGAGCAAACAUAACCUGGGAGUCCCUGAGUGACAACAGAGCCAUACAGAACUAUUUUUUGCAUUAUUGUCAGAUUUUUGAAACAUUGUGGGAGGAAAGCAGUGGGGGAAGGGAGAGAGAAAUUGGAUCUUGUAUUUCUUAUUAGCAGAGGAAGGAGGGAGGUAUGAGAUCGGUGUUACUCUGUGAGCUCUUUACCUCAGAGGAAGGUGAACCCCACCUGGCAGAAAUUAAAUGUUAAUGUAUCAAAUUAUGUCCAAAAGCACAUAAAGCUCAAGGGACACCUUAUGAUACCCCUUGAAAACAAGAUCUAAUUUAAUUCAUUUGCAUAUCCUGAUACCCAAUACUGCAAAUUGGCAUUGGUGUGUUAAUGCACUGCUACCAUUAGGCUCUCUUGAGCUUAUUGGAAAACCAUAGUCAACAAACUGCAGGCACUGAAUUGAAGUGUCUGGUCAGGGAAAACCAGAUCAAACUACAUCGUCUUAAUUGUGACCUGUUUUGGGAUGCAGAAGUGUGGCAGCAGCCCUUGGUGGAAAGAAACAAUAAAUUGAUUUUGCUGAGAACCUCAUCAAUCACUGGUCACAGUGACCCAUGGAUCAUUAAUCUCAUUAAAAACUUCAGCCUCGUGGCAAAAGUAAUAGCAGACACACUAAAAGCGUGCAAAUUAGAUAUGCUUUCACAAAUGUGAAUGGGUCUGCUGUCCCUGAGGAGAACUCCAUUCCUAAAUUGGGCAAACUUUUCACUGACUCCAGCUGAACUUCAGCCAUUUACUCUGUGUCAGAUGGCAUCUUCAGGAGCUGUGAAAGCUGUAUGGAAGGUGUGUGGCCUGUUAGUGAGUCAUGUUUAUGUACUCAGUUCAGAGAAGGGAGAGCUGAACAGGGGGCACAGGAUGCUUAAUGCUGUGACCUUGCCAGCCUCUCUCUGCUGCCUGCACUCUUCAGGUGAGGUGAUUCCAAAAGAGUCUGGGAAACUGCUCUGGUUCUGGCCCACAUCAGUGGGAGGAUAUGGCCAAGGCACUGUGUUAUUUGAUACAAUCUUAUGUCAUGGGCUGGGCAAAAGGACUCCCUGAGAAGGGACUUGUGAGAAGAAGGGGUGUGGUUUCCAGCUGGGAACAGGUGCGGCAGAUGGAGAAGUUGGGGUGGGGUGCCACUGGCUGUGGUUGUGUCAGCUUGGGCUCAAUGAGCAUCUUCCAUGUAAAUCACACUCUUUUUUUAGCACACUUUUGUUAUUAAUAUUGUUGCUGUUACUGUUCUUUUUCUUAUCCCAUUGCUGUUCCCAGUAAAUUGUUCUUAUUUCAACCCAUGAUUUUUCACAUAAUUCUCAACUUCAUCCCUGGAGCAGGGAGUGGGAGGGAAAAUGAGGGAGCAAGUGCUUGACAUCUUGUUUGGGUGUCUCGAGAGAGGCUGUGACAGGAACGUAUCAACAGUACGCAGGUAACACUGAUUUUCUGUGUGUCUGUGAGUCCAAAGAGUUUGCAUUUUCUUGGAGAAUGAUAUGUGUCAAAGAGUAUAGUCAGUUGGUCAUGUGGGUCCUUUCAAAUAGGGCAGAGCCUGUUGUAUCACUGCGAUGCAGGCUUUGCUGUUAUCUGUAGAACAGUAAGAGCAUGCAUGCAGCUGCCAAAACUGCUAACGUGCACAGUACAGCUGAAAAUUUGUACUUGCUCCUCUCAGACCUUGUGAACACAAUCCAUGACUCUGAGUGCAUCCGUGCAGGUCAGAUGGCACUUGGCCCUGGUCUCCAGUCAUCCGUGUGCAACCAUAUUGGCCCUGCUGAAGCAGGCUAAAUAGCUACCUCUGCUUAGAAAGUUAAGUGCAUUUGAGAGGGUUGUUCUCAGGGAUUUGCACACCCCAGACACCAUCUACACACCAGGACACAUUCACUUCCUCCUCUCAAGAAUGUUCUCCAGUGCCCCUAGACUUAUGUACACAAAUCUCACCCAGCUGUGCUCACCAGCCUCCCAGCUGGCCCAAAGACUUGGGGAGCUCUAUAUCAACCCUCUUAUUAUUUGGCUGCUUGGGAUUUUUACUGAACCCUGUGAAUAAAAAAAUCUAAAAGCUUUUUGGGUGCAAAAAGUGUUUCAGAGCUUCCAUAGUCAGCACUUCCAGGUUAUUUGCACAUCACAUAACUGAGGCUAUUUCAUGCUGUGGGUUUGGCCUGCAGCAGUAAGUACUUUGACUUCAAAUUCAUCCAAACAAAGGCUUUGCAUGUAGAGAGCUGUGAUGCCAGUGAUUAUGCUGGAGAAGCUUGGCUGACAUGCCUCCUUCUAUGAUGAAAUACACCAGCUCGGGACCCAUGUACCAUAACAGUAAGCUCUGUGUUGCACUGUCACCAAGGACUUGAGCAUCUUGCUGGGUCUGAGAGGUCUGGGACCUUAACAAGCCUUGCAACAGAUCAGAUUCUCUGAGGCCAUUCAUUCAUCCUUUCCAUCUCCACUGCCAUGCUCAGGACAAGUGGAGGGGCCCCAGGCAUGAAGCCAUGUUUCAGGCAUUGCCUGUGGCUCUGCAAUAGCAGUGUUUAAAACAUUACAACUUGAAGUCUGUGGAGGAGACUGAUGGAUGAAGGGAUGGAAGAACUGCCAUUGCUGCUGAUUGUCACUUUAAAUCCUUUGGGAAAGAGUCUUCUGGAAGUGAAUAGAAACUGAUCACCUUUCUCCAGACUUGAGUCAUCUCACAGAAUUUAACAGAAAAUAAUUAUUUUGCUUCAAAUUGAUAUAAUGUGGCUUAAAAUGCUUGAAGAUGAAAGAUGUGUUCAUUUACACAAUCUAAGUUAUCAGCUGGGAUAAAUUAACUCUCUGAAUCCUGUGCAAUUCUGUAUGUGUGCCAUCUCUAAAUAGGUAGAUUUUCACAUGUGUAUUUGCACUGCUUUAGUAGCUCCAUUUCUGGGGCUUUCACAAAAAGAUAACAACCAUUUUUACAUUUGCUUGAGGCCUGACUGAAGGGUUUAUCUCCAUGUAAACUUUCCAGCCCAGCUGUGAAACCUCUGAAAUGGAUGGUAAAGAAAGUUUUGAUGAAACUUAACUGUAGUUGGGUACUUCACUGCUGUAAGGGAAAAUCCCCCAGUUGCUGUCAGUGGGUGAGCAGCUGGGCUUGCAUCCCUCCAUUCUUCACUGUAAUCUUCAUUAACAUAAGAGUUGGUGUUUUGCUCCCCACACAUGGAUUCCAUACUGUUUGAGAUCCAGGAGGCUGCAGGGAUAAAGGCAUGUGUGCAGGCCUCUCUGCUGACCACAGCCAGCAUUUCUUUAGCAAGCAUAGCAUGAAUAUAAACGUUGCAUACACCACAAUGGAGAGGAAUUACUAUGCACACUAUCACUUUCAAGCCUUUGAAAGAAACAGAAGCAGAAGGAGGUUCUUGCACUUUCUGCCUACAUCAUCUUUACUGUCCAUCCAUUUGUUCCCCAUUUAGCCUCCCCACUGGCAAAGCCUCUAUUAUGUGCUCCAAGAGCAGACAAUGGGAGCCCACUAUGGCUGGCAAUGCCUGCAUUGUUCCACGGGCUCCCUAUAGAAAUCCCUGUGUUCGCAUGACCCCUUUUCCAAAACUUGGGGUUUUUAUUUCCCUAAGGGGGAGGGUGAGAGGAAAAGGACAGUGUCUCACAGCUCUGUGCAGAUUAGUGGUACGUUCAUGCCCAUAUAUUGAAAUGGAUAAAAUAGCCAUAAAUUUUUCCCAAAGUGCUUUUUUGUAAUGCAUGCAUGAACUCACUUAACAAGCUUAAAAUAUUUAGUGAACAUUGAAAUGAAUGGAGAGUGUGGGAGGGGGGGACAAAACUAGCAGAGAUAAUGGAAUACACUUAGCAGUCAUAGCAGCUUUACAUAGCUGUAUCAUAUUCUCUAUGGAUAACACAGCUGGGACAUUAUGGUUAGAGUUUUAAAAUAUCUAGGGAUUUCUGUCUUAAGAUAGUUAUCAAUAAUUGCAAACUUAAACAUUAAAUAUUUUUGGCUUUGUUAAGAUAUAUACCUCUUUAUUUAAUGCAAGAUAAAAUAUCGUGAAAUAGAGAACAUUCUUCCCUUGGCAUUUCUUCAGGACUCGGGUAAGCAGGAAGGAUCUCUGAGUGGGGAUCUAAAGUCUGUCUUGGGGAAACCACAGGCUGCCAAAGACAGGUGAAUGAAAGCACAGAAGUCCCUCAGACUUGACAGUGUUUGAAAUGCCAAAUGAGAACAAGGAGAUGGGUUGCUAUAACACAGGUUCAUACCACCUGUGAAACUGGCGAAGUCCUUCAGCACUGCAGAAAAUCUUGCCAGAUUAAAUCAUAAAUUGCUGCUUCAUUCCAACUGAGCCAAAAUUUGCACUCUUGCCCUAGUUCUGACUGGGACUAGGACCUCAAACCCACAGACUGCAGCAACACAUCCAUCAGCUCACACCUAAUUAACUGCUUAAUUAGAGCAGCACUGGGGAAAGUCUGCUCUUUGUUUUUCCUUUCUCUCUGGUGCCUGAAUGCCACUUGUAGCACCACAAAGCUCUUUGAGUGGCUGAGCCUUCCUGGUCACACAUAGUUCAAGGUGAAGGUCUCUUCUGCUGGGCUUUUCCUCUCUCUUCUGAGAUAAUUGACCUUGAUGUCACCAUGAAGCUCCUCCCCAGGUCACACCACUCGCACUGAGCCAGUGCCUCAGCUAGAGCUGGAGACUAAUACACGCCUGUUUAAUUUGAAAGAGCAAAAUGAAGGUCACUGAGGAAGAUUUUGUAUUCCACAACCAGCCUGUGGAGCAAGAUGUGUGCUGUCAUCCUGCUCACUCUGACGCAGCCCCUGCUCCAGUAAUCCCACAGGACCUCACAACAGCAGGAUAGAUUUUCAUCUGAAGUUCGGUGUCUUCAAAAUAAAUCUGAGAUAAAGUCAUCAACAGAAUGAGCAAAUGGAGCAUUGAGGAGUAAAUAUGAGGACCAGUGGGGGUUUGACUCUUCCUUGUCAUUAUAUCACCAAAAAGAACUAUUGUAACCAGCAAAAUUAAUUCAAGACUUCUUUUCCACCUAAACCAACAAUUCGGAGGGUGACUUUAAAUUCAUCUUUCAGAGCAGAAACUCACAAGUGGCAGCAGAUUCAGGAUGAAUUUAAAAUGCUGGUUUGAGAAACUUGAGCUCUAUGGCAGAAAAGUUGAGCUCCAAAAUGGUGAAGUGCCCAAAAUAUGGACUCUUAUGAUUUUAUUAAAUAAGACUGACAUUCUUUAGCAUGUGUUUAAAAUUCUCUGGAUCAAGGCUGUCGUGGAUGGGCAAUAUAGUAAACUACAGUUAUUUAGGUGACCUUUCUCCUCCUUAACCUUCUCCUCUUUUUGAGCACCUUGUAGCUAACUGUGCCCAGUCUGGGAUCUGCCUUGUGGAUGGCAGAGCUCUGAGAAACACAAAGUGUAGGCACUGUGUGGAAAUCAACCAGACUACCGAGCUCAGAUGAUUUAUAAAUGUUAGCUUUUGGUGUCCUUUUUAUAAAAAAUUGAAAGAAAAAAUAUAACAGAAAAAUUCCUUUAAAAACAACCGGAUCCUUUUGGAGCAUGACAAACAAAAAAUGUAGCAUUAAUUAAUCCCAUGAAAAUUUCCCUUUGGCAAUGCCUUCCUGUAAGUAAAACACAGUCCCCUAAAACUGCAUUCCAGAAGGAAAAGGUUCUCAGAUGGCCACUGAGAUAACAUGAGAAAAUUAUUUUUGGACACAUUUGCAGCCGAAGCCCCUCAGAGGAGCUGCUUUGAUAACUGGACACUUCCAGUGUGGAAGGAGGAAAAAAAUCUGGUUUUCCCCAUGCCAGCCCCAGCCACUCUGAGCCUACACCCACCGCUAAACCUGGGCCCAUUUCUAGGCUGGUGUGAGAUGUUCCCACAGCUCUGCUGGGGGCUGUAUUUCACUCUCUGCCUUCUGUAGGGAUGAACACAUCAGAAAGGGGGAAGUGAGCCCCAUGCAUCUCUCAAGGAUGAAUGGGACAUGGAGCUGAGGUGGAAAAGAUAAUAGAAAACUGCUCAGAAAUCAAGAAGAGUUCUGCAUUUUAUGAACUUGAUUCAUGAAAUUACCCCCAGAUUUUAUUUUUUGCUCAAAAAGGGGCUUCUUCCUGACAAGAAAAUUAUCUGUUUGAAGUUUAAAUUACUUGGAGAUUAAAUUAAAAAUUAGAUUUCUGGAUUUUAAAAUUUCAUUUUAAUUAAGUGUUGCAGCCCUUUGGAAUUCAAAGAAACUGAAACUCUCCUAAGACAAAUGGCAGACACAAUAUUUGAAAUUUGAUUACAAUUUUUUCCUUAAUUUUAUCCAAUUAUAUUAAGAGGUCUUUGAGCUACAAAGCAUUAAAAAGCACUACUGAGGCCAGAGACAUGCUAGUGAAAUAUUGUUUCUGUCAUGUGGAGCUCUGUACAGAAUUGUGUGGGCUUAAAUAAAUGUAUCUUGAUAGUUUACCUUAAAACUCUCUGUCCUUUUCCUCAGUUCAGCUGAAUCCUAUGAAAUAGAUACGCAGCUUGAAGAAGUUCUUCACACCCCCACAAACGCUAAAAAUGGCCCUGAUACAACAUGUAUUUAUGUAACAAAAUCAUCUGCAUUAAUAUCUUCCUUUCCUUUCUGCAAGAAGCACAGGAGGGACCCAGGCUGACACAUUUUCCUGCAGCCCCUUCCAGUUUUCUCCUUGCAUUUGGGGCAGCAGGGCUGAGCUGUGUUUUCCCUUUAAAAAAGGCCACUGAAUGAACAAGAAUUUGAUGUGGCUAUUAAUAGGGUCAGCUGCAGACCUGCAGCCCAGGCUUUUGGGUUCUCUCCCCUUGAAUAUUCAGUAUCCUGUUACGGAUUGAAACUAUGUGAUAACAAGAGUUCUGGUCACUGCUUUUAUCCUGAUCUUUUAAAAUAAAGAGGGUAUUAAAACAAAUAUAUUUCUUCCAGUUUUCUGAAAAGACAAGAGACUGGCUGAUGGGAUCAAGUGUGAUGUAUUGAGCUGUUAACUUCUUCUUCAUAUCUGACAGAAUGAAGAGAAAAAUGGCCCCACCUGGCAACUGUUUGCUGCCCCCAUUUGUCACCAUCAAGAUCAGGUGGCUGUGUGCUCUCUAGAUCACAAUGAAGCCCCAGCACCUGGGCAGGUGUGCAGCUUGAGGAGAGGGCUCAGGUGCUGUGGAAACAAAGCCAGGGGCUCUGUGUUGGUCUCCCAGGGCUGCCUGCUGGCUUGGGAUGAAGAGAAGGAAGAUUGUAUUGUAGCUACUGCUGCUGCCAAUAGGGUCAGAGAAAGUCUUGGUAACCCUGCCAUGUUUAGCAUCACAAAGUACCUGGGAAAAUCAACAGCCAACAAGCCUCCUCAUUUUUCAUACGGAGACUUCUGCCCCAGCUCUGCUGCUCCUCUCUGGAUAAUGAGAGCUGGAAGUGCCCAGCCCUUCCUCACACCACGGCUCACCAGGAUGGCUCCCAGCACAAGCUGGCUCCUUGGAGGGCAGUGCUACUGCCACAGGGCUGUCCUGAAGAGUGACCAGAAUGACCUCCUAAGUCUGCUAAACCAGCACUCACUGUCCCAACCUGCUGCCUGCUGUGGAAAUAAAUCCCGAGCAGCAGUGAAAAUCAAACCAAUAUUCUCAGCAGCAGCUGUAAACUCGAUAAGCUCUCUGUCCUCCUUUCUCUCCCCCUGCCCUGUCCCUCCCUUUGGAGUUGAAAUGAAGGCAGAGACAUGCUGAGAGAAGCAGUGCAGUGCUCUGUUUGCAGGAUAAUAUGCAGACCACA